rnacentral:rRNA from 1 species
AGUGAACGCUGGCGGUAGGCCUAACACAUGCAAGUCGAACGGCAGCACAGUAAGAGCUUGCUCUUACGGGUGGCGAGUGGCGGACGGGUGAGGAAUACAUCGGAAUCUACUUUUUCGUGGGGGAUAACGUAGGGAAACUUACGCUAAUACCGCAUACGACCUACGGGUGAAAGCAGGGGAUCUUCGGACCUUGCGCGAUUGAAUGAGCCGAUGUCGGAUUAGCUAGUUGGCGGGGUAAAGGCCCACCAAGGCGACGAUCCGUAGCUGGUCUGAGAGGAUGAUCAGCCACACUGGAACUGAGACACGGUCCAGACUACUACGGGAGGCAGCAGUGGGGAAUAUGGGACAAUGGGCGCAAGCCUGAUCCAGCCAGACCGCGUGGGUGAAGAAGGCCUUCGGGUUGUAAAGCCCUUUUGUUGGGAAAGAAAAGCAGCAGGUUAAUACCCCGCGGUUCUGACGGUACCCAAAGAAUAAGCACCGGCUAACUUCGUG